GCCGCUGUGGUGGAAUCUGGUAGACACAAUGGACUUAAAAUCCAUCGGAAUUUUUUUCCAUGCCGGUUCAAAUCCGGCCAGCGGCACCA
rnacentral:tRNA from 1 species